rnacentral:miRNA from 1 species
UAGUACGACCCAUGCCGGCUCA